GGGGAAUCUUAGACAAUGGGGGAAACCCUGAUCUAGCCAUGCCGCGUGGUCGAUGAAGGCCUUAGGGUUGUAAAGAUCUUUCAGUGGGGAAGAUAAUGACUGUGCCCACAGAAGAAGCCCCGGCUAACUCCGUGCCAGCAGCCGCGGUAAUACGGAGGGGGCUAGCGUUGUUCGGAAUUACUGGGCGUAAAGCGCACGUAGGCGGAUCAGAAAGUCAGAGGUGAAAUCCCAGGGCUCAACCUUGGAACUGCCUUUGAAACUCCUGAUCUUGAGGUCGAGAGAGGUGAGUGGAAUUCCGAGUGUAGAGGUGAAAUUCGUAGAUAUUCGGAGGAACACCAGUGGCGAAGGCGGCUCACUGGCUCGAUACUGACGCUGAGGGGCGAAAGCGUGGGGAGCAAAC
rnacentral:rRNA from 1 species